GGGGGGUGCGCAUCCCCCAGAAAAUCCGUCCUUGUAUGGAGCACAUAUGACCAUUCUGUAACCUUUACAUAGUACCUUAUUUUACAGGCCUAAAAGUAACUGAAGAACAGCUGAAGGAGGCAGCUACGCUAUCUGGCAUUUUGCAAGUACCAGAUGACUAUUUGGAGCCAAAUGUUAGAGCAGAAUGUGAAAGACUGAUCCCUGAUCAUGACACAAUCAAACCAAAUGAAUGCCAAGAUGCAUACUUAUACUUGAAACAACAUUAUAAUAGUUAAUUUUAACAUGUCAAUUUUAAUGUUCUUUAUAAUAGAUGUCUAUAGAUGCAUGUCUGUGCAAUCAAGAUAUGGAAGAUGACUUCCUUGAUGCCUCAUUUAGAAGAUGUGAAUCGCUUCUACCAAAAACAGAAAAGAUAGAACCUAAAGAUUGUGCAUCUGCAUUCAUAUAUCUCAAAGAAAACUUUAACACAACAUUGUAGAUGCUACAUAUAGAUGUAAACUAAAUUUAAA